rnacentral:tRNA from 1 species
GCAAGGGUAGCUCAGCUGGCAGAGCAUCUGCCUUCCAAGCAGAUUGUCGCGGGUUCGAUCCCCGUCCCUUGCUCCA